AACGAACGCUGGCGGCGCGCCUAACACAUGCAAGUCGAACGAGAAUCCGGGGGCAACCCGGUAGUAAAGUGGCAAACGGGUGAGGAAUACAUGGGUAACCUACCCUUGAGAAGGGAAUAACCCGCCGAAAGGUGAGCUAAUACCCUAUACGCUAUCUUUUUUUCGAAAAGGAUAGGAAAGCCGGGUCGAGGACCUGGUACUCAAGGAGGGGCUCAUGUCCUAUCAGCUUGUUGGUGGGGUAACGGCCUACCAAGGCUACGACGGGUAGCUGGUCUGAGAGGAUGAUCAGCCACACUGGCACUGAGAUACGGGCCAGACUCCUACGGGAGGCAGCAGUGAGGAAUAUUGCGCAAUGGGCGAAAGCCUGACGCAGCGACGCCGCGUGGGGGAUGAAGGUUUUCGGAUUGUAAACCCUUUCAUGAGGAAGAUAAAGUGGUAACCACUUAGACGGUACCUCAAGAAGAAGCCACGGCUAACUUCGUGCCAGCAGCCGCGGUAAAGU
rnacentral:rRNA from 1 species